rnacentral:rRNA from 1 species
GUUUAACACGCUUUCCCCAAUUAAUUACGUACGUAGAAACAGCUCACACAGAUUCUAACUGAGAAGAGGAGAUCAUGGAGCGAUCUUCCUCUGCUUCUUCUUCCUCCCUCUUAGGCACCAUGGCCAUCCUGGCAAUCCUAUGCUGCUCCCUGCCAUCCUCGGUGGCAAUCCAAGUUCAUAUGGACGGAGACCUAUCGGGAGUGACACCUCCGCCUCCGUGGCACCCGCCGGCGCCGCACGGGAAGAUCACCCGCAGGCUGUUGCAAACGUCCCUUGUUCAUAUGGACGGAGACCGAGAAGGAGCUGGUCCUCCGUCGCGUAUGUCCGAGCAGGGACGGGCCCCUGGCCACAACUAACCGUGUUCUUUUUUUUUUGCGGCAAACAACUAACCGUGUUUGUUGUGCUUAUUUAUGUUCCGAGCAUGAAUCGGGACAAGUUUGUCCUAUAGAUGACUUUAUAGUUUUAUUGUUUAUAUAAACUUCAAGUAAUAAGUAUGUGUUAUUUUUUUGAAUCAUGUUUGGAUUACUUACCAAGAGCGCC